rnacentral:miRNA from 1 species
UAAUAUUGCUCACUACACCUCCA